CCGGCGACCGGCGGACGGGUGCGUAACGCGUAUGUAACCUACCUUUGACAGGGGGAUAACAUCGAGAAAUUGGUACUAAUACCCCAUAACAUCACCGGAGGCAUCUUCGGUGGUUGAAAACUCAGGUGGUCAGAGAUGGACAUGCGUUGUAUUAGCUAGUUGGUGAGGUAACGGCUCACCAAGGCGACGAUACAUAGGGGGACUGAGAGGUCAACCCCCCACAUUGGUACUGAGACACGGACCAGACUCCUACGGAAGGCAGCAG
rnacentral:rRNA from 1 species